rnacentral:rRNA from 1 species
CCUACGGGGAGCUGCAGUCGAGAAUUAUUCACAAUGGGGGAAACCCUGAUGGUGCGACGCCGCGUGGGGGAAUGAAGGUCUUCGGAUUGUAAACCCCUGUCAUGUGGGAGCAAAUUAAAAAGAUAGUACCACAAGAGGAAGAGACGGCUAACUCUGUGCCAGCAGCCGCGGUAAUACAGAGGUCUCAAGCGUUGUUCGGAAUCACUGGGCGUAAAGCGUGCGUAGGCUGUUUCGUAAGUCGUGUGUGAAAGGCGCGGGCUCAACCCGCGGACGGCACAUGAUACUGCGAGACUAGAGUAAGGGAGGGGGAACCGGAAUUCUCGGUGUAGCAGUGAAAUGCGUAGAUAUCGAGAGGAACACUCGUGGCGAAGGCGGGUUCCUGGACAUUAACUGACGCUGAGGCACGAAGGCCAGGGGAGCGAAAGGGAUUAGACACCCUAGUAGUC